rnacentral:rRNA from 1 species
GACGAACGCUGGCGGCGUGCCUAAUACAUGCAAGUCGAGCGAGUCUGCCUUGAAGAUCGGGGUGCUUGCACCCUGUGAAACAAGAUACAGGCUAGCGUCGGCCGGGUGAGUAACACGUGGGUAACCUGCCCACGAGAUCGGGAUAACACCUGGAAACAGAUGCUAAUACCGGAUAACAACAGAUGAUGCCUAUCAACUGUUUAAAAGAUGGUUCUGCUAUCACUCUUGGAUGGACCUCCGGUGCAUUAGCUAGUUGGUAGGGUAACGGCCUACCAAGGCGAGUAUGCAUAGCCGAGUUGAGUGACGGAUCGGCCACAUUAGGACUUAGACACGCCCCAAGCGCCUACGGGAGGCAGCAGUAGGGAAUCGUCCACAAUGGAGGCAAGUCUGAUGGAGCAACGCCGCGUGAGUGAAGAAGGGUUUCGGCUCGUAAAGCUCUGUUGUUGGUGAAGAAGGACAGGGGUAGGAACUGACCUUUGUUUGACGGUAAUCAAUUAGAAAGUCACGGCUAACUACGUG